ensembl:lncRNA
GCCAUGUUUGGUAUCAUCAGGGCGAGUGGUACAAUGGUCUCAAUCCUGCACUGGUAUAUCUCUGGAAACAUUAAACAUAGUUAGUCUCAGGCUCAAGAGCUGCUGCAUCAGUGUCAGUUAUAUCUUACAGAGUAUUUCUUUGCUCACAGAGAUGGCAUUCUCCUGGGUUUGCCGUAUCUGUGGCCUCCACCUUUACGAGCUCAACUUGCAGUAGCAGUUACAGCCUGGACAGCUCACCUUUAGCAGGAGAAGAGCCACUUCCACAGUACAAACAAGAGACACCAGUGAGAGAGAGAGAUCGCUGUUCCUGAAAUGAACUGCACCCUGUUCCUGUUAGCCGGCUACGCCAAGUAUAGGCAAACUUAUACCUGGAUUCAAUCCAAUCAUGAGCGCCUAGUAAACAUCAGAGAAACUGAUACACUAGUCAAAGAUACACCAAUGAAGCUGAAGUCAAUCACAGACUGAGUUUCAACAUCCAAAGAAACUCAUGUGUGGGACAUAAUGAGUGAGGUGGUGGGACUGUGCACCAUGCCGCCUCCAGACAACCCCUUCUCUUUGGACAUGCGCUACCUCCAAACCCUGUCCUUCCCAGAGCGCUUCCUGGUCACUGGGGCCCUCCUGAAUUUCCUGGAGAUGAUUGUGGUUCAGGGAAUCCGAGAGGAGCUGUUCUAUGAUCUGGGAAGAGUUGAAGCCGCUGAGAAGACUUCAUUUCCAAAACCUUUCUAAGGUCCAAAGGUUUCAGGGUAGCGACAGGACUCAAAGUCAUUUACCCACCAAAUGAAUAU